rnacentral:rRNA from 1 species
UACGAAGGGGGCUAGCGUUGUUCGGAAUUACUGGGCGUAAAGCGCACGUAGGCGGAUUGUUAAGUUAGGGGUGAAAUCCCAGGGCUCAACCCUGGAACUGCCUUUAAUACUGGCAAUCUCGAGUCCGAGAGAGGUGAGUGGAAUUCCGAGUGUAGAGGUGAAAUUCGUAGAUAUUCGGAGGAACACCAGUGGCGAAGGCGGCUCACUGGCUCGGUACUGACGCUGAGAGACGAAAGCUAGGGGAGCAAAUGGG